rnacentral:rRNA from 1 species
GAUGAACGCUGGCGGCGUGCCUAAUACAUGCAAGUCGAGCGAACAGACGAGGAGCUUGCUCCUCUGACGUUAGCGGCGGACGGGUGAGUAACACGUGGAUAACCUACCUAUAAGACUGGGAUAACUUCGGGAAACCGGAGCUAAUACCGGAUAAUAUAUUGAACCGCAUGGUUCAAUAGUGAAAGACGGUUUUGCUGUCACUUAUAGAUGGAUCCGCGCCGCAUUAGCUAGUUGGUAAGGUAACGGCUUACCAAGGCAACGAUGCGUAGCCGACCUGAGAGGGUGAUCGGCCACACUGGAACUGAGACACGGUCCAGACUCCUACGGGAGGCAGCAGUAGGGAAUCUUCCGCAAUGGGCGAAAGCUUGACGGAGCAACGCCGCGUGAGUGAUGAAGGUCUUCGGAUCGUAAAACUCUGUUAUUAGGGAAGAACGAAUGUGUAAGUAACUAUGCACGUCUUGACGGUACCUAAUCAGAAAGCCACGGCUAACUACGUG